rnacentral:rRNA from 1 species
AGUGAACGCUGGCGGUAGGCCUAACACAUGCAAGUCGAACGGCAGCACAGUAAGAGCUUGCUCUUACGGGUGGCGAGUGGCGGACGGGUGAGGAAUACAUCGGAAUCUACUUUUUCGUGGGGGAUAACGUAGGGAAACUUACGCUAAUACCGCAUACGACCUACGGGUGAAAGCAGGGGAUCUUCGGACCUUGCGCGAUUGAAUGAGCCGAUGUCGGAUUAGCUAGUUGGCGGGGUAAAGGCCCACCAAGGCGACGAUCCGUAGCUGGUCUGAGAGGAUGAUCAGCCACACUGGAACUGAGACACGGUCCAGACUCCUACGGGAGGCAGCAGUGGGGAAUAUUGGACAAUGGGCGGAAGCCUGAUCCAGCCAUACCGCGUGAGUGAAGAAGGCCUUCGGGUUGUAAAGCCCUUUUGUUGGGAAAGAAAAGCAGCAGGUUAAUACCCCGCUGUUCUGACGGUACCCAAAGAAUAAGCACCGGCUAACUUCGUG